UAGAUUUGCAAUUCAUUCAUAUUUAUCCUUAUCAAUUAUUUAAAUGUUUCAGAAUACCAGAGGCUGGAGACAGAUGACACACUGACUGGGAUCUUUCCCAAAGAGAAAACCUGAGAGUGUUGAUUGAAGAAAAAUGGACAGAUCAUACACAAGUGUUUGAGUUCACUUCAGUACUAUCUGCUAUUCAUACAUCAGGGG
rnacentral:lncRNA from 1 species